rnacentral:rRNA from 1 species
UACGUAGGGUGCGAGCGUUAAUCGGAAUUACUGGGCGUAAAGCGUGCGCAGGCUGUUUUGUAAGUCAGAUGUGAAAUCCCUGGGCUCAACCUAGGAACUGCGUUUGAAACUACAAGGCUAGAGUGUAGCAGAGGGGGGGUAGAAUUCCACGUGUAGCAGUGAAAUGCGUAGAUAUGUGGAGGAACACCGAUGGCGAAGGCAGCCCCCUGGGUCAAGAUUGACGCUCAUGCACGAAAGCGUGGGGAGCAAACAGG